rnacentral:rRNA from 1 species
UACGGGGGGAGCGAGCAUUAUUCAAAAUGAUUAGGCGUAAAGUGUUUGUAGAUAGUUUAUUAAGUUGAAAAAAAAAACAUAAAGCUUAACUUUAUAUAUUUUUUCAAAACUGUUUAACUAGAGUAUAUUAUAGAAAAUAUUAGAAUUUUUAUUGGAGGGAUAAAAUAUGCUAAUAAUAAAAAGAAUGUCAAAAGCGUAGGCUAUUAUUUAAGUAAAUACUGACAUUGAAGAACGAAAGCUUGGGGAGCAAACGGG